CAGGAGCUGCUGUGGGUGAAGCUUAAGAUGCUUGAAAAACGUGAAACAGCCAGAGAACAACAUCAAGGUGAUUGAGCCAGAAGGUGCUUCCUGCGGCAGGGAAGAGACAGCCAAGCAUUUCUGGGUGGAGGAUGGUCAAGUGACCAGCGCUGCAGAAGAGGAAGGGACAGAGAAAGAGAGAGGCACCUGAACUGGAAAAUUCUGUGGGCAGCGCUGAAAGCAGGAGCUGCGAAUUCCAGCUGCCAGCGUUUCUCCGUGGUCGCCCUUCCUUCUGCCGUGAUGGUACAGGACAGACGGAAAGAAUCCGGAGUGCUCUGCGAGUACGAGCGGUACUCGAAAACCUCACUGAGAUACUGGCAUCUGUCCUAAAGGCGAUUGAGGUCAAAGAGGAGACACGG